GAGGGUAUAGCUCAGUGAUACAGCGUGUGCUUAGCAUGCACAAGGCCGUGGGUUCAAUCCCUGGAACCUCC
rnacentral:tRNA from 1 species